rnacentral:rRNA from 1 species
UUUAUGGAGAGUUUGAUCCUGGCUCAGGAUGAACGCUGGCGGCGUGCCUAAUACAUGCAAGUCGAGCGAACGGACGAGAAGCUUGCUUCUCUGAUGUUAGCGGCGGACGGGUGAGUAACACGUGGAUAACCUACCUAUAAGACUGGGAUAACUUCGGGAAACCGGAGCUAAUACCGGAUAAUAUUUUGAACCGCAUGGUUCAAAAGUGAAAGACGGUCUUGCUGUCACUUAUAGAUGGAUCCGCGCUGCAUUAGCUAGUUGGUAAGGUAACGGCUUACCAAGGCAACGAUGCAUAGCCGACCUGAGAGGGUGAUCGGCCACACUGGAACUGAGACACGGUCCAGACUCCU